GCAGGGGUGCCGGAGUGGUCAAACGGAACACGUUUAGGCCGUGUUGGCUUAGUGCCUUCACAGGUUCGAAUCCUGUCCCCUGCA
rnacentral:tRNA from 1 species